AUUGAACGCUGGCGGCAGGCUUAACACAUGCAAGUCGAGCGGGGGAAGGUAGCUUGCUACCGGACCUAGCGGCGGACGGGUGAGUAAUGCUUAGGAAUCUGCCUAUUAGUGGGGGACAACAUCUCGAAAGGGAUGCUAAUACCGCAUACGUCCUACGGGAGAAAGCAGGGGAUCUUCGGACCUUGCGCUAAUAGAUGAGCCUAAGUCGGAUUAGCUAGUUGGUGGGGUAAAGGCCUACCAAGGCGACGAUCUGUAGCGGGUCUGAGAGGAUGGUACGCCACACUGGGACUGAGACACGGCCCAGACUCCUACGGGAGGCAGCAGUGGGGAAUAUUGGACAAUGGGGGGAACCCUGAUCCAGCCAUGCCGCGUGUGUGAAGAAGGCCUUAUGGUUGUAAAGCACUUUAAGCGAGGAGGAGGCUACUCUAGUUAAUACCUAGGGAUAGUGGACGUUACUCGCAGAAUAAGCACCGGCUAACUCUGUGCCAGCCGCCGCCGUAA
rnacentral:rRNA from 1 species